GAAUAAGGAGAUCUGUUAUUAAAGAAUAGAGUGUUUGUGUUACUGAACACAUGCAGAGCGAAACAUCCUACCCCACCGACUGUUGGUAGUGAAAUGACAGCUGUUCUGGGCAGCGCUCCUGGGAGCUAGCCCCUCCUUUUGGUGGACCAAUCAGCGGUUGUUUUACAGCUAGGUCACAGAAUGCGCUUGUGGAACCAAUCCUGUAGUCCCAAGCUUUAGAGAGGAUCUUUACCUUACAUUAAAAGCUAUAAAAAGAAGAUUAAAAAGGAAAUUUAGGAAGUAAAAAGGUGAAUAAAAAAAGCAUUAAACAAUAUUAAAAACUAAGGCAAGACCUGUUGAGCAAGCACAUGGCCAAAAACUGGCUUAAAAAAACAUUAAAAGCUAGGUUUAAAAAGGAAAUUUAGGAAGCGUCUGAUAAAAAAGUGAAUAAAAAAGCAUUAAACAAUAUUAAAACCUAAGGGGAACUCCUGUGUGCUUUUUUAUUCACUUUUUUUUAUCACGUGCUUAGUAAAUUUCCCUUUUAUAGCUUUCAAUGGGUUUUAUAGCCAACAUUUGGCUGUGUGUUUACUAAACAGGUUUUAAUAUUGUUUAAUGCUUUUUUAUUCACUUUUUUAUCAGACGCUUCCUAAAUUUCCUUUUUAAACCUAGCUUUUAAUGUUUUUUUAAGCCAGUUUUUGGCCAUGUGCUUGCUCAACAGGUUUUUAAUAUUGUUUAAUGCUUUUUUUAUUCACCUUUUUAUCAGGUACUUCAUAAAUUUCCUUUUUAAUCCUCUUUUUAUAGCUUUUAAUGUAAGGUAAAGAUCCUCUCUAAAGCUUGGGACUACAGGAUUGGUUCCACAAGCGCAUUCUGUGACCUAGCUGUAAAACAACCGCUGAUUGGUCCACCAAAAGGAGGGGCUAGCUCCCAGGAGCGCUGCCCAGAACAGCUGUCAUUUCACUACCAACAGUCGGUGGGGUAGGAUGUUUCGCUCUGCAUGUGUUCAGUAAGACAAACACUUUAUUCUUUAAUAACAG